AUUGAACGCUGGCGGCAUGCUUUACACAUGCAAGUCGAACGGUAACAGGCCGCAAGGUGCUGACGAGUGGCGAACGGGUGAGUAAUGCAUCGGAACGUGCCCAGUCGUGGGGGAUAACGCAGUGAAAGCUGCGCUAAUACCGCAUACGAUCUAUGGAUGAAAGCGGGGGACCGUAAGGCCUCGCGCGAUUGGAGCGGUCGAUGUCAGAUUAGGUAGUUGGUGGGGUAAAGGCUCACCAAGCCAACGAUCUGGAGCUGGUCUGAGAGGACGACCAGCCACACUGGGACUGAGACACAGCCCAGACGCCUACGGGAGGCAGCAGUGGGGAAUUUUGGACAAUGGGCGCAAGCCUGAUCCAGCAAUGCCGCGUGCAGGAAGAAGGCCUUCGGGUUGUAAACUGCUUUUGUACGGAACGAAACGGUCCUGGUUAAUACCCGGGGCUAAUGACGGUACCGUAAGAAUAAGCACCGGCUAACUACGUGCCAGCAGCCGCCGUAAUAC
rnacentral:rRNA from 1 species